rnacentral:tRNA from 1 species
UGGGAUAUCGCCAAGUGGUAAGGCGGUGGGUUUUGGUCCCGCUAUUCGGAGGUUCGAGUCCUUCUAUCCCAG